rnacentral:rRNA from 1 species
AUAGGCACCAAGCGUUGUCCGGAUUUAUUGGGCGUAAAGAGCUCGUAGGCGGUUCGGUAAGUCGGGUGUGAAAACUUUGGGCUCAACCCAAAGCCUGCAUCCGAUACUGCUGUGACUAGAGUUCGGUAGGGGAGCGGGGAAUUCCUAGUGUAGCGGUGAAAUGCGCAGAUAUUAGGAGGAACACCGGUGGCGAAGGCGCCGCUCUGGGCCGAUACUGACGCUGAGGAGCGAAAGCGUGGGUAGCAAACAGGAUUAGAUACCCUGGUAGUCCACGCCGUAAACGUUGGGCACUAGGUGUGGGUUCCAACCAACGGAAUCCGCGCCGUCGCUAACGCAUUAAGUGCCCCGCCUGGGGAGUACGAUCGCAAGAUUA